GACGUAGGGCGCGAGCGUUGUCCGGAUUUAUUGGGUACGUAAAGAGCUCGGUAGGCGGCUUGUCGCGAUUCGAAUGUGAAAUCUCAGGGCUCAAACUCUGACAUUUGCAUUCGAUACGGGCAGGCUCGAGUUCGGUAGGGGAGACUGGAAUUCCUGGUGUAGCGGUGAAAUGCGCAGAUAUCAAGGAGGAACACCGGUGGCGAAGGCGGGUCGCUGGGCGGAUACUGACGCUGAGGAGCGAAAGCGUGGGGAGCGAA
rnacentral:rRNA from 1 species